AAUACAAAUAACUCAAAUAGUAAUACAGCUGUUAAUAAUUCAAGAUCUUCCAAGUAGAAGAUCGAGAAAGCUGCCAAUGAAGCUCAGAGCUCUGAAACGGGCACAAGAGCUACUGAUUCUGCCAGGGUUACAAAGUUCUCUAGAGAACUCUCAGGACAAACGGUCAUUUUAGAGAGAUUAUGUGAGCUUGGAGUGGUGUUCCACCUUACAUGCAUUCUAAUGUAUGGAGACUUCUGUUGGGAUAUGCGCCAUCUAAUUCAGAUAGAAGGGAGGGAGCUCUAAGGAGGAAACACUUUGAGUAUCUUGAUUGUGUUGGCCAAUUUUAUGACAUUCCUGACACUGAACGAUCAGCUGAUGAGAUUAAUAUGCUU